ensembl:lncRNA
ACCAGCUUAAAUCUGAUUAAAGUUUUUUUUUUUCAGCAGGGGCAAAGCUCAGAUCCAGAUCAGACAUAUCAUGAAAAGAAAAUCUCAUUUUGCCAGUUCCUCUUAAAUCUCACCUUCUCUCUGGCUGUCCCUGACCAUCCUGUGAACACCGUUUCCAGGGCAACAUCCCUGGUGGCCAGCAGAUGCAGAGAACAAUGCCUGUCCAAAGCAGAGGGACCUCUUCAGAAUCUGCAAUGUCAAGACAGGUGAAGACAGGCUGUAUUCUGUGCUAAGUCGCACAUCACUGAGGAGAUUUAAACUUUCGUUUAAUCUGUGACAGGAAGAAUAAGGCUGCAAAACA